rnacentral:rRNA from 1 species
UACGUAGGGUGCGAGCGUUAAUCGGAAUUACUGGGCGUAAAGCGUGCGCAGGCGGCGCGUUAAGACAGGUGUGAAAGCCCCGAGCUUAACUUGGGAAUUGCGCUUGUGACUGGCGUGCUGGAGUGUGGCAGAGGGAGGUGGAAUUCCACGUGUAGCAGUGAAAUGCGUAGAGAUCCGGAGGAAGACCGGUGGCGAAGGCGGCCUGCUGGGCAGUUACUGACACUGAUGCGCGACAGCGUGGGGAGCAAACAGG